rnacentral:rRNA from 1 species
GACAGAGGUGCCAAGCGUUAGGCGGAAUCACUGGGCUUAAAGCGUGUGUAGGCGGAUCGUUAAGUACCUUGUGAAAUCCCACGGCUUAACCGUGGAACUGCUCGGUAUACUGGCGGUCUUGAGCAACCUAGGGGCGAGCGGAACAAAUGGUGGAGCGGUGAAAUGCGUAGAUAUCAUUUGGAACGCCAAUGGUGAAAACAGCUCGCUGGGGGUUUGCUGACGCUGAGACACGAAAGCCAGGGGAGCAAAGCGGG